rnacentral:misc_RNA from 1 species
UGCUUUAAAUCCUAAUGCAAAACGCAAUCCUAGAAAUACUUCAAAACGCAGUGUUUUUCCUUUAUUUAGAAAAGGAAAAAAGAAUUACAAGAAUUUUUUUUAAAUAUGAGUGCACGAGUUUCUAUUUAUAGUGAUAUUUGGAGUAAUAAUUGGCAAAUACAUUCAUAUAUGGGUAUAACAUGUCAUUGGAUUAGUGAUAAUUGGAUCAUGCAAAAAAGAAUAA